rnacentral:rRNA from 1 species
UACGGGGGGGGUAAGCGUUGUUCGGAAUUACUGGGCGUAAAGGGCUCGUAGGCGGCCAACUAAGUCAGACGUGAAAUCCCUCAGCUUAACUGGGGAACUGCGUCUGAUACUGGAUGGCUUGGAUUCGGGAGAGGAAUGCGGAAUUCCAGGUGUAGCGGUGAAAUGCGUAGAUAUCGGGAGGAACACCAGUGGCGAAGGCGGCUGUCUGGGGUAUUGCUGACGCUGAGGCACGAAAGCCAGGGGAGCGAACGGG